GAUGAACGCUGGCGGCGUGCCUAAUACAUGCAAGUCGAGCGAACGGACGAGAAGCUUGCUUCUCUGAUGUUAGCGGCGGGCGGGUGAGUAACACGUGGAUAACCUACCUAUAAGACUGGGAUAACUUCGGGAAACCGGAGCUAAUACCGGAUAAUAUUUUGAACCGCAUGGUUCAAAAGUGAAAGACGGUCUUGCUGUCACUUAUAGAUGGAUCCGCGCUGCAUUAGCUAGUUGGUAAGGUAACGGCUUACCAAGGCAACGAUGCAUAGCCGACCUGAGAGGGUGAUCGGCCACACUGGAACUGAGCCACGGUCCAGACUCCUACGGGAGGCAGCAGUAGGGAAUCUUCCGCAAUGGGCGAAAGCCUGACGGAGCAACGCCGCGUGAGUGAUGAAGGUCUUCGGAUCGUAAAACUCUGUUAUUAGGGAAGAACAUAUGUGUAAGUAACUGUGCACAUCUUGACGGUACCUAAUCAGAAAGCCACGGCUAACUACGUG
rnacentral:rRNA from 1 species